UACGUAGGCAGCGAGCGUUGUUCGGAGUUACUGGGCGUAAAGAGUGCGUAGGCGGUUUUCUAAGUUUGGUGUGAAAUCUCCCGGCUUAACUGGGAGGGUGCGCCGAAGACUGGAAGGCUUGAGUAUGGGAGAGGUAAGCGGAAUUCCUGGUGUAGCGGUGAAAUGCGUAGAGAUCGGGAGGAACAUCAGUUGCGAAGGCGGCCACCUGGACCAGCACUGACACUGAGGCACGAAAGCGUGGGGAGCAAACAGG
rnacentral:rRNA from 1 species